rnacentral:sRNA from 1 species
AUCAGGCUCUGUGAUGUAAGUAGGUAAUGGUGGACUUGGGAGCCUAACACUGGUCUGCUUCUUCUUCACCCCUCAGGCGAUUAAGAAUCCAAAGGCUACGCUACGUUACUUCCAGCACCUCCUGGGGAAGCAGGCAGAUAACCCCCAUGUAGCUCUUUACCAGGCCCGCUUCCCGGAGCACGAGCUGACUUUCGACCCACAGAGGCAGACUGUGCACUUUCAGAUCAGCUCGCAGUUGCAGUUCUCACCUGAGGAAGUGUUGGGCAUGGUUCUCAAUUAUUCUCGUUCUCUAGCUGAAGAUUUUGCAGAGCAGCCCAUCAAGGAUGCAGUGAUCACCGUGCCAGUCUUCUUCAACCAGGCCGAACGCCGAGCUGUGCUGCAGGCUGCUCGUAUGGCUGGCCUCAAAGUGCUGCAGCUCAUCAAUGACAACACUGCCACUGCCCUCAGCUAUGGUGUCUUCCGCCGGAAAGAUAUCAACACCACUGCCCAGAAUAUCAUGUUCUAUGACAUGGGCUCAGGCAGCACCGUAUGCACCAUUGUGACCUACCAGAUGGUGAAGACUAAGGAAGCUGGGAUGCAGCCACAGCUGCAGAUCCGGGGAGUAGGGUGAGUGGGUACUUGGCAGGGAGGGCUGCUUGUGAAGACCCUCAAGUCAGGGGUUUCUUCUUGGAGGAGACACACUGCUUUGCUUUCCUGCAUGCUGCAGGAAUGGUCUCCUGAUUGAGGCAUCAGUCAUCGUAGGGGACCACUCACAAAGAGUAAGGGGAAGCCGGGGCGCAGGGGAGGACAGUUUGGGAAAAUUGGAAGACAUGGAACUUUCAAAAUGUAUUCUAAGGAAAUCCAUGGAGCUGUAGGCAAUAUGUAGGGUGUCAGAUUCAAUUAUGUUUUUGUUCUUUUGUCAUUUCUAGUUAAAUAAUUUAACAUUCUUGUUGUCUUAUUUCUUUUUAAUUUUUUUUCAUGGCCUGUGACAUAGCCCUCAGGAGAUCCUGAGAACAUGUGCCCUGUUGUCUUAUUUCUUGAAAUCAUCUUUUUGCGUUUUCACCAUUACCACCCAGCCCAAGUUACCAUCACCUCUUAUUUGCAGAAUUAAAAACAUCUCCCUGUUCCUAGUGACGUCUCCUUUCAGUUCUUUCUUCAUAUUGCAGCCAGAGGGUUCUUCCUAAAAUCCAACCUGAUCAUUACCUGUUUCUUUAAAAACGUGUCACUGGCUCCAAAACUUUCCCUGCGUCUGUCUCAACCCUGUCUUCCACAGCCUGUCUGAGCCCUGAGCCCUCUCUCUCUUUGAGCCCCAGUGAUGCUUGCCCUCCUCUGGAACUUGCCAUGCACUCUCCCACUUCAAGGUCUUUAUGAACAUUGUUGCUUCUGUCUAGAAUGUUCUUUCCCCUCCAGCUAGUGAACUCUGAACUCUUCAGUUCAGGUGAUGCUUGCACUGAACUUAUCCUUCAGGUUUCAGUUCAGGCAUCACUUUUUAGGGGACAUGUUCUUGGGUCUCCCUCAGUAGCCUGAAUCUCCCCCCAUACAUGUUCUGCAGGCAUUGUCCCCUCACCUUUACAACAUGUGAUGUAGUGAUAAUUUCACAUUUGUGUGAUUAUUCAACUUUUCCAUAGCAGGGACCCUGUCUCUUUCCCCGCCGCCACAUUUGUAUUCCCAGAGGGAAGUACAUAAGUAAUGCUCAGUAAACACUGUCGAAUGAACGAGUGGAAGAAGGGUCACUGCGAGGUGUCAGCUGUGCUGUAGAGAGUUGAGGGCAGAGUGUGUGUCCACACAUGGGGCACUGGAGAUGAACAAGGUCCCCUGAGAUGAAGGAAAGGUGCCAUGUGGGGAUGAGAGGCUCCUAUGCAGAUGCGGGGACUCCAUGUGUUCUUCAUGUUUUUCCCUGCUCCCUUUUCUCAACAGAUUUGACCGUACCCUGGGGGGCCUGGAGAUGGAGCUCCGGCUUCGAGAACACCUGGCUGGGCUUUUCAAUGAGCAGCGCAAGGGUCAGAGAGCAAAGGAUGUGCGGGAGAACCCGCGUGCCAUGGCCAAGCUGCUGCGUGAGGCUAAUCGGCUCAAAACUGUCCUCAGUGCCAACGCUGACCACAUGGCACAGGUGCCCACAAGUGGCUGGUUGAGGCUAUAUUUUGUCCCACAUAGAGGGUGGGGGACCCUGCCACUGAACUGGGCUGCUCGUGCCUGGCAUGGCCCAUGCUCCUCCCUCUACCAUCCUCCCAAAGACCUAUUCUUUUUGUUUCUGUCCUACUCACCAAGAGAGCGGGAUCUGGGCAAGAACCCCCUGACAGUCCCCAUCCUCUCCCAGAUUGAAGGCCUGAUGGAUGAUGUGGACUUCAAGGCAAAAGUGACUCGUGUGGAAUUU